rnacentral:snRNA from 1 species
GUGCUUGCUUCAGCAGCACAUAUGCUAAAAUUGGAAUGAUACAGAGAAGAUUAGAAUGGCCCCUGUGCAAGGAUAACAUGCAAAUUUGUGAAGCGUUCCAUAUUUUU